rnacentral:rRNA from 1 species
UACGAAGGGGGCUAGCGUUGCUCGGAAUCACUGGGCGUAAAGCGCACGUAGGCGGCUUCUUAAGUCAGGGGUGAAAUCCUGGAGCUCAACUCCAGAACUGCCUCUGAUACUGAGGAGCUCGAGUCCGGGAGAGGUGAGUGGAACUGCGAGUGUAGAGGUGAAAUUCGUAGAUAUUCGCAAGAACACCAGUGGCGAAGGCGGCUCACUGGCCCGGUACUGACGCUGAGGUGCGAAAGCGUGGGGAGCAAACAGG